rnacentral:rRNA from 1 species
CAGCCGCCGCGGUAAUACGGAGGGUGCAAGCGUUAAUCGGAAUUACUGGGCGUAAAGCGCACGCAGGCGGUCUGACAAGUCAGAUGUGAAAUCCCCGGGCUUAACCUGGGAACUGCAUUUGAAACUGUCAGGCUGGAGUCUUGUAGAGGGGGGUAGAAUUUCAGGUGUAGCGGUGAAAUGCGUAGAGAUCUGGAGGAAUACCGGUGGCGAAGGCGGCCCCCUGGACAAAGACUGACGCUCAGGUGCGAAAGCGUGGGGAGCAAACAGGAUUAGAUACCCCUGUAGUCCCUGUCUCUUAUAC